GCCAUCUUUUUGAUAGUAAAAAUAUUUUUCUUUAUUUGUAGCCUUCUGUGAAGUAUCCUUCUUCGGCUUCUUCUCCUUCACAAGCUUAUUCUUCUUCUUCCUAUUCUAUUAGGGUGAUUUCAGAAUGCAGAUUUUUCAUCUCAUGAACAUAUGCAGUAGAAAGGUAAGAUUAAAAUAAUUUUAAUCCUAGGCAUGCUUGGAUCUAAUCCUAAAUCACCUAAGGAUCUCUUAACAUGCUUGAAAUAAAUUUAUACAUCAGAUCUAAAAUCAAAAAUCAGAAAGAAAGAAUGAUUACCUUAAUCGCUUUCCUUUGAUCUG
rnacentral:lncRNA from 1 species